rnacentral:rRNA from 1 species
UAACAGGAUUAGAUACCCUGGUAGUCCACGCCCUAAACGAUGCGAACUGGAUGUUGGGUGCAAUUUGGCACGCAGUAUCGAAGCUAACGCGUUAAGUUCGCCGCCUGGGGAGUACGGUCGCAAGACUGAAACUCAAAGGAAUUGACGGGGGCCCGCACAAGCGGUGGAGUAUGUGGUUUAAUUCGAUGCAACGCGAAGAACCUUACCUGGCCUUGACAUGUCGAGAACUUUCCAGAGAUGGAUUGGUGCCUUCGGGAACUCGAACACAGGUGCUGCAUUGCUGUCGUCAGCUCGUGUCGUGAGAUGUUGGGUUAAGUCCCGCAACGAGCGCAACCCUUGUCCUUAGUUGCCAGCACGUAAUGGUGGGAACUCUAAGGAGACCGCCGGUGGCAAACCGGAGGAAGGUGGGGAUGACGU